UUCUUCAAUCGAUUCCAUUGCCAAAUUCUCAUUUUCAUUUAUUUGCUUGUUAUCCAUUCCGUUUUCAUACUAUAGUGACAGGGACUACACGGACGGGUUUAUUAACAUGGUCAACAACGAUUGGAAUGAGUUCGAGGGAUUCUUCAAGUCAGGCCGCCCAGAACAUAUAAUUGAUGAGGCAUCGACUGAUUUCAAACUACAGAUUGAGCAACAUUUCAAUAGUCACAUUUUUCAUCAUUCUCGCCCAGAUGCUGAAUUUCCAGAUUCCCCAAACAACCGGAAUUUUACAAUCACAGAAACAUGUAGCAAAACACUGCAAAACAUCAUAAGCAAAUAUAUAGAGCUCUUUGAAAGAAUAGUUCGUCUCAUCGGCUUGGCAUUAUCGAAGUUGAUUCAGAAAAUUGUCCCUACUAAAUUACGUGGAUUCGUGUAAUUUGUAUGAUUUACAUUGAAAUAAAUCACUCGUUUGUGCUGAACAUGUAAAAGCAAUAAACAUAAAAGCAAAUGAACAUA